CUGAAUCAGGGUGUAGUCACAUAGCUGAGAAAGGGAGCCCCAGACUGAUGCCGUUCCGCAGAUACCUCUGGUCUGUGCUCGUUGACUCAGGGCAAACCUGACGAAAGGCCGUCCUUUUGGAAAGAAGAGAUCAGGACCCAGAUACAGAGACCCACCACGUGGAGAGACUCAGGGAGAAGGCGGCCAAGGAGAGCCCAGGAGAGCAGCAUCAGAAGGAAGCAAUGCCGGCCGCACCUUGAUCUCAGACUUGCAGCCUCCGGAACAGUGAGAGAAUAGAUUACCUUAAAACAAAAUCAGCAACCCAACAUAACUAGGAGUUGGGCCGGCAUUGGAAGUUCUGCCAUGAAGUGGACCCAGAGAGCCCCAGAAGAGACCAGAGGCACUGGAAUCCCAGCUUCAGAAUGCUCUGCUUUCAAACAAGUGUCAAUCAAGAUCUCUAUAUCCGGCAAAACUAUUAAUGAAAACGAAGAGUACAGUGGCUUCUGUCUACCAGGAGGCUGUGAAUCCCCAGAAGAGACACCUGGCUGAAUAUCUGUGGGAGGCAUCCAAGCACCAGAUUCCUGAAGAGUAGUGCUACCCCCUUUCAGGUCAGCUCAGCCUCCCGGCCCCAGUCCUUUACCUUCUUCAGACCUCAGUGCAUCAGGGCAAGCCUGCCAUCUCCCAGAGCAACCAGCUGAGACUCCCUCAGCCGCGCUGGACACCGGCAGGACGGAGGCAGGCCUCUCACAUCCUGGAAAGAAGCUGCGGUCACUGCAGGGAAUGCAGACCAGCUCACCCACGCUGCCUGCAUCCAUCCACACUCUCCUGUCUGGUGUCUCUUUUUUCCUCCGCCCGCCUCCUCACUCUGGUUCCUUGCAUGAUUGGUCUUAAUAGGGGAGGAAAAAUAAUUUUCCCCUACCUUCUGUGUUUGUGGCUGAGAACUCUGUAAUAAAAGAAAGAUG